UUUUCCGGUUGAUCCCGCCGGACCCUACUGCUAUUGGGAUGGGACUAAAACAUGCUAGUCGUGCGCUUCUUAGCUAUGUUGGAAGCGCGGCGAACGGCUCCGUAACACGUAGUUAAUCUGCCCUUAGGACGGAGAUAACCCCGGGAAACUGGGGCUAAUACUCGAUAGGUGGAAGAGCCUGGAAUGGCCUUUCACUCAAAGGGUCUUAGGAACAUGCUUCUAAGUCUGCCUAAGGAUGAGACUGCGUCCGAUCAGGUUGUUGGUGGGGUAACGGCCUACCAAGCCUAUAACCGGUACGGGCCCUGAGAGGGGGAGCCCGGAGAUGGGAACUGAGACAAGGUCCCAGACCCUACGGGGUGCAGCAGUUGCGAAACCUCCGCAAUACACGAAAGUGUGAUGGGGCUAUCCCAAGUGCCGUCCGAUGAGGAUGGCUUUUCCCCGGUGUAAGGAGCCGGGGGAAUAAAGGGGGGGCAAGACUGGUGUCAGCCGCCGCGGUAAUACCAGCCCCCUGAGUGGUAGGGACGAUUAUUUGGCCUAAAGCGUUCGUAGCCGGCUCAGCAAGUCUUUCGUUAAAUCCAGUGGCUUAAUCAUUGGGCUGCGAGAGGUACUACUGGGCUAGAGGGCGGGAGAGGUCGACGGUAUUCCGGGGGUAGGGGUAAAAUCCUAUAAUCCUCGGAGGACCACCAGUGGCGAAGGCGGUCGACUAGAACGCGCCUGACGGUGAUGGACGAAAGCUGGGGGAGCGAACCGGAUUAGACACCCGGGUAGUCCCAGCCGUAAACGAUGCGGGCUAGGUGUUGAGGCAGCCAAGAGCUGCCCCAGUGCCGCAGAGUAGUCAUUAAGCCCGCCGCCUGGGGAGUACGGUCGCAAGACUGAAACUUAAAGGAAUUGGCGGGGGAGCACCACAAGGGGUGAAGCCUGCGGUUCAAUUGGAUUCAACGCCGGGA
rnacentral:rRNA from 1 species